rnacentral:rRNA from 1 species
GAUGAACGCUGGCGGCGUGCCUAACACAUGCAAGUCGAGCGAGGGUUUGCUCAGUAUUGAGUAUUCUAAAACUAGAAUGUUCAUUUGAGCAAAACCAAGCGGCGGACGGGUGAGUAACGCGUGGGUAACCUGCCCUAUACACAUGGAUAACAUACUGAAAAGUUUACUAAUACAUGAUAAUAUAUAUUUGUGGCAUCGCAGAUAUAUCAAAGUGUUAGCGGUAUAGGAUGGACCCGCGUCUGAUUAGCUAGUUGGUGAGAUGACUGCCCACCAAGGCGACGAUCAGUAGCCGACCUGAGAGGGUGAUCGGCCACAUUGGAACUGAGACACGGUCCAAACUCCUACGGGAGGCAGCAGUGGGGAAUAUUGCACAAUGGGCGAAAGCCUGAUGCAGCAACGCCGCGUGAACGGUGAAAGGUCUUUCGGAUCGUAAAAGUUUCUGUUUGCAAGGGGAAAG